rnacentral:rRNA from 1 species
AUACGGGGGGUGCAAGCGUUAAUCGGAAUUACUGGGCGUAAAGCGCGCGUAGGCGGUUUGCUCAGUCGGAUGUGAAAGCCCAGGGCUCAACCUUGGAACUGCAUACGAUACUGGCAAACUAGAGUGUGAGAGAGGAUAGUGGAAUUUCCGGUGUAGCGGUGAAAUGCGUAGAUAUCGGAAGGAACAUCAGUGGCGAAGGCGACUGUCUGGCUCAACACUGACGCUGGGGUGCGAAAGCGUGGGUAGCAAACAGGAUUAGAAACCCCAGUAGUCC